AUACGAGGGGCCCAAGCGUUAAUCGGAAUCACUGGGCUUAAAGGGUGCGCAGGCGGACCUACAAGCAUCUCGUGAAAUCCCCCGGCUCAACCGGGGAACUGCGGGGUGAACUGUAGGUCUUGAGGCAUCUAGGGGCAGAUGGAACUAUCGGUGGAGCGGUGAAAUGCUUAGAUAUCGAUGGGAACGCCAAUGGCGAAGGCAGUCUGCUGGGCAUGUUCUGACGCUCAGGCACGAAAGCGUGGGGAGCAAACAGAAUUAGAAACCCCAGUAGUCC
rnacentral:rRNA from 1 species